rnacentral:rRNA from 1 species
UACGGGGGGGGCAAGCGUUGUUCGGAAUUACUGGGCGUAAAGGGCUCGUAGGCGGCCAACUAAGUCAGACGUGAAAUCCCUCGGCUUAACCGGGGAACUGCAUCUGAUACUGGAUGGCUUGAGUUCGGGAGAGGGAUGCGGAAUUCCAGGUGUAGCGGUGAAAUGCGUAGAUAUCUGGAGGAACACCGGUGGCGAAGGCGGCAUCCUGGCCGCUUGCUGACACUGAGGCACGAAAGCUGGGGGAGCAAACAGG